AUGGCAGCGAUGGAACGGAAGAAGCAGAGAAACCCUAAAUUCUAUUUGGCCCUAUUUAUAAAGAUCUGCGUUGGGUGGAUCGGGUACAUAUCCGAUUUUACCACUGCGGCCUUUUUUAUUUUACCCUUUGAAAAUAUAAUUCUAGCGUGCCAAUACAAUUGCAAUUGCAAGUACUCAAUUUUAGAUUCAAUUUCAACUCACAUAUUAUUAAAUGAAUCUCAAUUAAUAAUAAAAUUUUAA